rnacentral:tRNA from 1 species
GAAAUGUUAGUCUAAUAUAAAGACAGCUGAUUUCGACUCAGCAAAUUAUAGUGAAACUCCAUAAUAUUUC